GAUGAACGCUGGCGGCGUGCCUAAUACAUGCAAGUCGAGCGAACGGACGAGAAGCUUGCUUCUCUGAUGUUAGCGGCGGACGGGUGAGUAACACGUGGAUAACCUACCUAUAAGACUGGGAUAACUUCGGGAAACCGUAGCUAAUACCGGAUAAUAUUUUGAACCGCAUGGUUCAAAAGUGAAAGACGGUCUUGCUGUCACUUAUAGAUGGAUUCGCGCUGCAUUAGCUAGUUGGUAAGGUAACGGCUUACCAAGGCAACGAUGCAUAGCCGACCUGAGAGGGUGAUCGGCCACACUGGAACUGAGACACGGUCCAGACUCCUACGGGAGGCAGCAGUAGGGAAUCUUCCGCAAUGGGCGAAAGCCUGACGGAGCAACGCCGCGUGAGUGAUGAAGGUCUUCGGAUCGUAAAACUCUGUUAUUAGGGAAGAACAAAUGUGUAAGUAACUGUGCACAUCUUGACGGUACCUAAUCAGAAAGCCACGGCUAACUACGUG
rnacentral:rRNA from 1 species